rnacentral:rRNA from 1 species
UGCAAGUAGAACGCUGAAGGAGGAGCUUGCUUCUCUGGAUGAGUUGCGAACGGGUGAGUAACGCGUAGGUAACCUGCCUGGUAGCGGGGGAUAACUAUUGGAAACGAUAGCUAAUACCGCAUAAUAGUAGAUGUUGCAUGACAUUUGCUUAAAAGGUGCAAUUGCAUCACUACCAGAUGGACCUGCGUUGUAUUAGCUAGUUGGUGGGGUAACGGCUCACCAAGGCGACGAUACAUAGCCGACCUGAGAGGGUGAUCGGCCACACUGGGACUGAGACACGGCCCAGACUCCGACGGGAGGCAGCAGUAGGGAAUCUUCGGCAAUGGACGGAAGUCUGACCGAGCAACGCCGCGUGAGUGAAGAAGGUUUUCGGAUCGUAAAGCUCUGUUGUAAGAGAAGAACGAGUGUGAGAGUGGAAAGUUCACACUGUGACGGUAUCUUACCAGAAAGGGACGGCUAACUACGUGCCAGCAGCCGCGGUAAUACGUAGGUCCCGAGCGUUGUCCGGAUUUAUUGGGCGUAAAGCGAGCGCAAGCGGUUAGAUAAGUCUGAAGUUAAAGGCUGUGGCUUAACCAUAGUACGCUUUGGAAACUGUUUAACUUGAGUGCAAGAGGGGAGAGUGGAAUUCCAUGUGUAGCGGUGAAAUGCGUAGAUAUAUGGAGGAACACCGGUGGCGAAAGCGGCUCUCUGGCUUGUAACUGACGCUGAGGCUCGAAAGCGUGGGGAGCAAACAGGAUUAGAUACCCUGGUAGUCCACGCCGUAAACGAUGAGUGCUAGGUGUUAGACCCUUUCCGGGGUUUAGUGCCGCAGCUAACGCAUUAAGCACUCCGCCUGGGGAGUACGACCGCAAGGUUGAAACUCAAAGGAAUUGACGGGGGCCCGCACAA